AUCCGACUGAGGAGUCCUAAAUAGGACGAAAUGCGCGUUUAGGAU
rnacentral:hammerhead_ribozyme from 1 species